rnacentral:rRNA from 1 species
GGUGUUGCAUGGCUGUCGUCAGCUCGUGUCGUGAGAUGUUGGGUUAAGUCCUGCAACGAGCGCAACCCUUAUCUUUAGUUGCCAUCAGGUUGGGCUGGGCACUCUAGAGAGACUGCCGGUGACAAGCCGGAGGAAGGUGGGGAUGACGUCAAGUCCUCAUGGCCCUUAUGUCCUGGGCUACACACGUGCUACAAUGGCGGUGACAGUGGGAAGCUAGGUGGUGACACCAUGCUGAUCUCUAAAAGCCGUCUCAGUUCGGAUUGCACUCUGCAACUCGAGUGCAUGAAGGUGGAAUCGCUAGUAAUCGUGGAUCAGCACGCCACGGUGAAUACGUUCCCGGGUCUUGUACACAC